UAGGGAAUCUUCGGCAAUGGACGAAAGUCUGACCGAGCAACGCCGCGUGAGCGAAGAAGGUUUUCGGAUCGUAAAACUCUGUUGUUAGAGAAGAACAAGGACGUUAGUAACUGAACGUCCCCUGACGGUAUCUAACCAGAAAGCCACGGCUAACUACGUGCCAGCAGCCGCGGUAAUACGUAGGUGGCAAGCGUUGUCCGGAUUUAUUGGGCGUAAAGCGAGCGCAGGCGGUUUCUUAAGUCUGAUGUGAAAGCCCCCGGCUCAACCGGGGAGGGUCAUUGGAAACUGGGAGACUGGAGUGCAGAAGAGGAGAGUGGAAUUCCAUGUGUAGCGGUGAAAUGCGUAGAGAUAGGGAGGAACACCAGUGGCGAAGGCGGCUCUCUGGUCUGUAACUGACGCUGAGGCUCGAAAGCGUGGGGAGCAAACAGG
rnacentral:rRNA from 1 species